CCUGAGUCCAGCAGCACAGAGCUCUCCGACAGGAGUCACAGACUGCAGCCCUGGAGACAGGAGGGAGAAGAGAGACAUAGCAGAGUCAUCCAGUGAAGGUGCCCCGGCUGGCCCCAGACACUGUGGACUGUGAGACAGCUCCUGGUCUUCCUGCAUCUGCGAUAGACUUCCUUCCUGUGUGUACCCUGACAUGGGAGGAAACAAUGCUCCUGGGGAACUCAUUCCUUCCACCCUUAUUCCCUGAAGAGGAUCACAUGACUCAUUCCUGGGCCCUGCCUGGGUAAGUCAUAUGCUUUGUCCUUCUUCCCUAAGGGGAUGAUUAGGCUCUCAUUCCUGAGGUGCCUUCCAGAUAACACAAGGACAGGAGCUUCCUAUCUCUGAAGACAUGGAGGAAAAGGGACUGGACACAAAACCUUGUGAUUUCUCCCCCAGAUUGUCACCAUUCCAUGGAGCAUGAUCAUGCAGUCCUCACUCCCUGUUACUAUCCACUUCUUAAUCAAAUUGACCAUUAUAAAGGCACAAGUUUCCCUGAUAGUUUGUUG
rnacentral:lncRNA from 1 species